rnacentral:rRNA from 1 species
AACAUGUUUGAGCCCUAUCUGUUCGAAGCAGCAGGGGAGGAUAGGGCGGAGCCGCCGGUGACCCCGGCGGUGGCUGUGGCAGCGCAGAGGGGGUCGGCGAGGAUGGCCUCUGGGGCGAGGAGGCGGAGCCGAUGACCCCGGCGGUGGCUGUGGCAGCGCAGAGGGGGUCGGCGAUGAUGGCCGAUGGGGCGAGGAGGCGGAGCCGAUGACCCCGGCGGCGGCGGCGGAGGGGUCCCAGGGGCUCGAGGACCAACGUCUGAUGCAGCCGUGGUUCCUCGCCGUCAAGAGCUAGAUCGAGCGCACGGCGGUGUAGCCGUCGAGAGGAAGAGGAAGAGCACCCUGCGCCGGUUCAGCCGUGGCGUCACGAAAAAGGCGGAGAGAAAGGGCACCGGUGGCCCCAUGAAGGUCGAGGAGGUCGCCGCCUCGUCGUGCAGCGCGCGAUGGUGGACCGAUGGGCGUCCAAGAGGCACUUGACCUUGCCGGAUCACGCUGCCGCUGGCGUAGUCCAGGCCGGAUCUGUGGAGAGCCCGGCGCAGCACCGUCUACAGAUUGAUAAGGGCCGGAGCUUCAAUGACGAAUCUACUAUUCAGCACACAGCCCAACUCGACAAGCACUAGCCAUGUCAACAGGCACUCAGGGGCAUGCUCGCCUCGGCAGUCAUCAAGGUGGCAAUAGAACACUUGAAUUCUACCAUUUUAGGCGAGAUCAAGCUGCACAGGAAUAUGAGGAACGAUAUGGAGAACAUGAAGAUGACGCUGGAGUCGGUGGACGCUGUGCUCCGCGACGCUGAGAGGGAGUCUAUCAAGCAUAGGUCCAUGCUUCUGUGGCUGAAGCAACUUAAGGAUGCCGCGAACGACAUCUCUCACAUGCUUGAAGAUUUUGAAGAUGAAACCGACCUCAACCUGGUAUUUGACAAUGUUGGCUCUUGGGCUGCCCAAUUGAUCACUGAAGCUGGUGGCAAGGUGGUCUCCAUCAGAGAUGUCACAGGGGCUGUGAAGAACUCUAAUGGCAUUGACAUAGCCAAGCUGAUGAAGCACUCGGCAGAGAACCGUGGGAUCAAGGGCUCCGACAAAAGGCGACGCCGUCGACCGACCUCGCUGCUCACGGAAGUGCGACGUGCUCAUCCCGGCAACUCUGGGAGGAGUCAUAAACAAGGACAAUGUUGAUGCCAUCAAAGCAAAGUACAUCAUCGAGGCUGCUAACCAGCCAACAGACUCCGAGGCCGAAGAGGCAAGAACACCAACAUUUUGGCACAAAACUAAGCUGCAUUUGCUGACACAUUUCACACAUUGACUGGCAGUAGAGAAGUGUACAUGUCCGCGCUGCAGAUUCUGGCAAAGAAGGGCGUGCUGAUCCUACCGGACAUCGUGGCCAACUCCGGCGGAGUGAUGGUGAGCUACUUCGAGUGGGUGCAGAACAUCCAGGGGUCCAUACUUGUAGACCUGAAUGACUAAGAUCGAUACUUGUCAUCUUGAACAACUAAGAUUGAAGUAGUGAGCCCGAACGAGUAGGACCGACAGUAGUAAACCCGAAUGACUAAGACCAAUACUUGUGGGCCCGAUGUCUAAGACCAAUACUUGUGAUUUUGGACAAUUAAUAUCAAAAGUAGUGUGCCUGAACGAAUAAGAUCAAUAGUGUCCGAUCACGCUAAUAAUAUCAUGGGUCGUCCAAAUCCAUAACUAGCACUAUGGGUCAUUUGGACUCACAACUAACACUAUAGUCGUUUGGCCCCCAACUAGCACUAUGGGUCACCUGAACCCAGAACUUAGCACUAUUUAUGAUCUUGAUCUAUAAGCAUCAUGAUUGGUUGUCCGGUCCCAUAACUAGCACUAGGUUCGUCUGAUCCCACAACUAGCACUAUGUGUUGUCCAAUCCCAUAAUUAUCAUAUGGGCCGUGUAAUGCGACUACUAGCACCAUGGUUCAUUUGAACCCAAAACUACCAGUAUGGGUAAUCUGAACCAGCAACUACCAUUAAAGACCGUCCUGAUACACAACUAUCACUACGGGUCGUGUGUGGUAAUCUA